CCUACGGGAGGCAGCAGUGAGGAAUAUUGGUCAAUGGGCGCGAGCCUGAACCAGCCAAGUCGCGUGAGGGAAGAAGGUCCUGUGGAUUGUAAACCUCUUUUGUCGGGGAACAAAGGACGCCACGCGUGGCGUUCCGAGAGUACCCGAAGAAAAAGCAUCGGCUAACUCCGUGCCAGCAGCCGCGGUAAUACGGAGGUUGCGAGCGUUAUCCGGAUUUAUUGGGUUUAAAGGGUGCGCAGGCGGUCGGAUAAGUUAGAGGUGAAAGCCCGAGGCUCAACCUCGGAAUGGCCUCUGAUACUGUGGGGAUAGAGGGGAGUUGCGGAAGGCGGAAUGGAUGUGUAGCGGUGAAAUGCUUAGAGAUCAUACAGAACUCCGAUUGCGAAGGCAGCAUGCCAAGUUAAGUCUGACGCUGAGGCACGAAAGCGUGGGGAGCAAACAGGAUUAGAUACCCGAGUAGUC
rnacentral:rRNA from 1 species